rnacentral:lncRNA from 1 species
UGUUAACAUUGCAACACGUCUAGAUCUCCUUCCUCGCAUUUCAUAACUUGGCUGUAUUCCAUGUUGCACAACAAAUAAUUUUAUACACAUUUUUCUUCACGAAUUUCCUUUCUAUGGAACAAAUGUACCACUAAAACCUUCGCUAUGCAGUUGUCGCGUCACCUCCACGUCAACGAUCCCACGUCCAACGCCCUAAGCAAAGUUGCAAUCUUUAACAUCUACAUUUUCUUGUUCACCAUUUGUUCCAAUUGAAACAAAUAAAAUCAUUCUUCGCAGAUCUAUGUUUUCUGCAUUAGCAAUUUCUAUUGAUGUAUUAACAGUGAAAAGUGCAUAGUCCAAAGUUCACUACUUUUUCUCUUACAUAAUUACACACUGAUUCAUUAAUUUUAUUCACAUUCAUCAUCUUUUUUCCUUUAUCUCUUACCCAUUCAGUUUCCUUCUCUAUAGAAUCCUACUCUCUACUCUCUGCCUUCUACUCUUUUGCUUGUUAAGAUUCCUAUCUAGAACCCACCAAAAAAAUUGGCUAUAGAACAUGCUAUGGAACCUGGAUUCCUUAGCUAUUUAUCGACAUUUCCAAAUGUAGUUAACAUUCCUAGAAAAAAGUAUUAUACCCAAACAAAUAUAGUAUCCUAUGUUUUUUGUUUACAAAAAUAUGUCUAAGAUUUGUCAUAUAUUAGACAACAAAGGUUUGGGAUUGUAAAAUCUUGAAAGCAAAACCUUUUUUUUUUUUUUUU